CCCAUCCGGCCAGGAGAGCGCGUCCAACGCACAACGGACGCCGCCGAAGGGGAUCACCCAUAAACUCUCAGGCAUCAAGGACUGAUCGGAUCGA
rnacentral:ncRNA from 2 species